rnacentral:tmRNA from 1 species
GGGGGCGAAACGGCUUCGACGGGGAUGUCGAUGCUCGUGGGUUGCGUGCCGAGGCCCUGCACCUCGUAAAAAGCGGGAAACCAAUAGUCGCCAACGACUAUCCGUUAGCUCAG